GAAUAUUUGAGGAUGUUGUUCUUGGUCUUCACGUUCAUGCAUUUUCCCUCUAUUUUUAUAAUUGGAUCAAUGAAUCAAUAAGCAAAUAUAUUUUAACUGCAUAAAGAUAAAAAUAGGCGUUGUCCAAUUAUGGAAAUAUAUGGUGAAAUAAGAAAUACUAUUCACAUUUAUUAAAAACACUGAGGUCUUCUUUCUAUUAACAAAUAAAUGACUCAGAGGUAUUACUCGCUUGCUGCAGGAUGGCAUAUACAGUAAAAAUAAUAAUAACGUAUGUGAGGUCAUUUGGGUCAGGACCAUGUUCAUGGUUGUUUGUUUUCUCAAGAAAAAAUAGUUUCACACAUACUUACAUGACUAAUAGAAUGAAAGGAGAAAUGUGUGGAUAAAUGGACAGAAUAUUUCCAUCUUUUUAUCUUUUUUGCUUUGUACUCUCACAAUGAACACCCUCAAGUUGACUUAAGCACCCUUCCAUGGUCAUGAGGUUUCUGGUUGCCUCUGUGUGUUAGAAGCUUGGAGACCAAUGCCUUCUGCUGUGAUCGCGUUCUCCACAGUUGCCUCUGGGUAGGAGCCUGGACACUAAUAGAAAAUGGAUGCACUUGAGCCGACCUAAGCAUUCAUGGUCAUGAGAUUUGUGGUUGCCACUGUUGGUUAGGAGCAUAGAGAUCAGUAAUGGACACACCUGGGCUGGCAGAACAUCUUGCCUUGAUCUGGAGCCCCAUGUCUGCCCCUCUGUAGAGGUGCACAUGGGCCAAUGAUGGAUGCAAUGAGCUGAUCAUUUUGCUGUGAUCAAGGCUAUGUUGCCUCUGUGUUAGGCCAAUGGUUGAUGUUCAUGGGUGAUUGAUCAUCCUGUAGCGACGGUGGUAUUGACUGUUCCCCAGAGGACAAGGAGUGUGUUCUUAUGUAAGUCAUAGUUGACAUUCUUGUUUUUGAUUGGGUAGUUUGCCUGUUCAUUGAUGUUCAUAGUACUAUAGAAGGUAGAUAAAUGGCCACAUACCUAAAGAAAAUCAAAGGGGACAAAAAGUGAGAGUCUGUUAUAAACUAAGGAUUAUAAUUAAUGUAAUUCAGUACAACUGUGGACAAUUUUGAAAAGAUAAAGAUUGAUGUCAU
rnacentral:lncRNA from 1 species